rnacentral:rRNA from 1 species
UAGGGAAUCUUCCGCAAUGGGCGAAAGCCUGACGGAGCAACGCCGCGUGAGUGAUGAAGGUCUUCGGAUCGUAAAACUCUGUUGUUAGGGAAGAACAAAUUUGUUAGUAACUGAACAAGUCUUGACGGUACCUAACCAGAAAGCCACGGCUAACUACGUGCCAGCAGCCGCGGUAAUACGUAGGUGGCAAGCGUUAUCCGGAAUUAUUGGGCGUAAAGCGCGCGUAGGCGGUUUCUUAAGUCUGAUGUGAAAGCCCACGGCUCAACCGUGGAGGGUCAUUGGAAACGGGGAAACUUGAGUGCGGAAGAGGAGAGUGGAAUUCCAUGUGUAGCGGUGAAAUGCGCAGAGAUAUGGAGGAACACCAGUGGCGAAGGCGGCUCUCUGGUCUGUGACUGACGCUGAUGUGCGAAAGCGUGGGGAUCAAACAGG